UCUGCCCUACGGGGCGCAGCAGUAGGGAAUCUUCCACAGUGGGCGCAACCCUGAUGCAGCAACGCCGCGUGAGUGAAGAAGUAUUUCGGUAUGUAAAGCUCUAUCAGCAGGGAAGAAAAAAGACGGUACCUGACUAAGAAGCCCCGGCUAACUACGUGCCAGCAGCCGCGGUAAUACGUAGGGGGCAAGCGUUAUCCGGAUUUACUGGGUGUAAAGGGAGCGUAGACGGCAUAGCAAGUCUGAAGUGAAAGCCCGUGGCUCAACCGCGGAACUGCUUUGGAGACUGUUAAGCUGGAGGACUGGAG
rnacentral:rRNA from 1 species